GGGUUUGUGGUCUAGUGGUAUGAUACUCCCUUAGCACUAUCACAUUGUUGAAGUCCUACAUGGGAGUGGUCCGGGGUUCAAUUCCCCGCGAAUCCA